rnacentral:lncRNA from 1 species
UAGGUGUUAUAUUAAUAUUUGCUUGUUAGUUUUUUAUGGUUUAUAGUUUUAGCUUGAAAUAAAUUUUCUUAUGGAUUACUUGCAUCCAUGAUGCACAUGUUUGUCUUAGCCUUUUUUAUUUGAAUUUGAGUGGUAUGCAAUGACAUGAUGCUUGGUUGUUGUUGGUUUUGGAACUUGAUGCAUGUUUGGAUGAGAUAAAAG